rnacentral:rRNA from 1 species
GGAUUGACACAUCGGUCGUGCCUUAAGGGGUAUGAACUGGUGUAGUCAAUUUCUCACCUUCUGGAGAACCGCGAUGCCCUUAAUUGGGUGUCACGGGGAACCAGGACCUUUACUUUGAAAAUUUAGAAGUGUUUAAAGCAGGCAUUUUGCUUGAAUACAUUAGCAUGGAAUAAUAAAAUAGGACGGCAUGAUUCUAUUUUGUUGGUUUCUAGGAUCACCGUAAUGAUUAAUAGGGAUAGUUGGG